GGCAACCUGAAAUAAAUGAAGGGGAAACUUUAACUAAAAUAACUAAAUUUCAACAUCCAACCAUUUUACGAGAUUGGAGAAGGCUCAACAAGUACACGCUGGGAACUAUCGAAGGAUCAAUUCGUUUCCUACCUUACUCUAAAAGGAAUCAAUAAUCACGAGGACAUGUUUAACGCAGUAAUGUGCUUCGGAGGAUCGGAUGUUCGUAAGAUAGCGCGAGAUGUCAGUGUCAGCGAAUCGGCCAUUCUCGACAACCGUUACAGGAAAGCAAUGGAGAUAUUGGAUAAUUAUUACUCUCCACGGAUGACGCAAAGGUAUGAGCGGUUCAUGUUUCGUCAGCUGGUUUUCAACCCAAACGAAAAAAUUGACCAAUUCGUGAUUCGUUUGAAGGAGCAGGCCGCUCAAUGCAGUUUCGGUGACCAGGUUGAAGAAAUGAUCAUGGAUCAAGUCGUGUAUGCCACACAAAACGAUGAUAAGCUUCGCGCCAAAUACCUGGAGGCUGAUACCAGUCUUAUCAAGAUGCUAGAUAUUGCACGUACUCACGAAUCAGUUAAAUCACAACUUCAGGAGCUUCGCGGGAAAUCCAUCCCUAUUAUCGAUUUGAAUGCGGUAAGUGAAAGUGACAAGGACGCCAAACAUAGUAGGAUUUCCAGCGAUGCUCGGUGUCCAGCUAAAGCUGUUCAAUGCGGAAAAUGCGGUGAACUAGGAUAUUUUGCUCGGUGCUGUAAAACGCCGCAUUUUAAGGAUUAUAACCGAUCAACACAGAAGCCAACUUUGAACAGAAGAAACAACCGUCAAGAACGAAAAGAGAAAUUUGUGCGUGAAGUGGACGACGUAACAAAGUCUGUUGAAAUCUGAGAGCUAUUUCAUUUGGAAGGUAAACGCUUUGUUGAAGCUAUUAUCGGCGGGAUUAAAUUGCGGUUUGUUAUCGACAUGGGAGCCGACGAAAAUGUUUUAAGCGUUGAAGAUUGGAAAACACUCAAACGUACGGAUUCAAGACUUUUGAUGUCAGGAAAGGAAGUGAAAAAGUUUUUCGUGCAUAUGGAUCGAUGAAACCGUUGACUGUUCUAGGCGAAGUCGACGCUAAAGCUACUGUUGGGGAAAAAUAUUGCGAUACAACACUGUUUGUUAUCAUGGAUGGUAGAUGUUCAUUACUGUCGGGUGAAACUGCGGAAUCACUAGGAAUCAUCAAAUUUCUUCGUACCGUCUCUAAGGAAGGGCUACCAUGUAUCAAAGGUAAUACCAAGGGGAAACAAAUCUACAUGACAGGCGUUCGGUUUUACAUUCCAUACUGGAGAUCACGUAAGCUGCACAGAAACUACAGGAUUUACGAAUAUAAACUAUUGAAUAUUUCAACAAGUAACCAUAACUAACGCGCCAAGUCAAAUCGAACACUCAUUUGAAAUCUUUCAUAGCUAUCUUUUUUUUAGGUUUGGAACAGGAAUUAAAGGUUUUUUUUUCACAUCUAUUAUGCUUGCUUCUAUUGAAUGCAAA